UACGAAGGGUGCAAACGUUGCUCGGAAUUAUUGGGCGUAAAGCGCACGUAGGCGGCUUGGCAAGUCGGAUGUGAAAUCCCUCGGCUCAACCAAGGAAGUGCAUCCGAAACUGCUGAGCUUGAGUACUUAAGAGGAUCGCGGAAUUCCCGGUGUAGAGGUGAAAUUCGUAGAGAUCGGGAAGAACACCCGUGGCGAAGGCGGCUCUCUGGGACGGUACUGACGCUGAGACGCGAAAGCGUGGGGAGCGAACAGG
rnacentral:rRNA from 1 species